GCACCUAUUAUGGGAUACACGUUUUUAAACAUCCUUUUGUGUGUAAGUGUGCAUUAGUACAUGCUAACGAUAUUCAAAAAGUACAUACCUCAAAGAAAACGAUGACGCGAGUUAUCGUCUCUAACGUUCGAGGACUACAAAAAACACUCGGAUUGUAGGCAACAGUUUACUUCCUGGGAUUAGUGACGUAGAUAAGACCAACAUUAUCAUAGUUCAGCCCUCUCUGCUUUGCUUGGGUACGCCCUCAAAGACGAGGGUGGGGUGGGGAGCGCCGAGUCAGAAGAGAGCUAAAAUGGCGGAGGUUGUGAGUCCCUGCUUUUACUCUGUUUGCAAACUCUUGUUUCAUUGUUUAAGCGACUAAAUCUCUCGAGUAGACGCUGUCUCUUUAGAUGCGAGGGCAAAAUAGCACUUUAUGGACUUCCACAGAGGACAUCAUGUUUAAUACGGUUCCGGAAAAAUCCAGUCAGAAGUUGUUCACGGAGUUUUCACAAUAACUGCUUCUCAUGAACCGAAGCUGGAUUUGCUUGACGUCUCCUCUUGAAAGUUGGAUUACUUUGCACUUCUGGAUCACAGACUAUUCGCAGCUGGACACAUCCUUCUACACUGUAUGCAAACAUGCAACAUCAUUACACACAGUACAAGGAGUCAGACUGGCAUAUGAGGAGCAAAGGAACCCAGGCAGUAGCAUCGUUUCACAAUGUUUCCAUCACCAUCAUCAGUGGAUGCCUUUGCCGUCCGUAGCCUGAGAUUUCAGAUUUGCAGCAAAAAAAAAAAAAUUCUCAUUUAUUGGAAUGCUGUGCAGGUAUUUAAGUAUUUUAGUAACUGUGUUAAAUAAAGUAGUAUUUACUUUUACAAUAAAUUAAUUGCUUGUUUAUAUUUUACAGGUAUUUGUACCUUGCAGCCAUCCAUUACAAUGUCACCAAGCCGUAACAAAAGCAGGAGAGGGAAAGUACAAGGCUAUGUUCCCAAAACACAAAUGACAUACCUUAUGUGGAGGAUGUGAUCAGGCUUGUGUUUGAUGAGGUAUUUGAAGAUAAGCUGAAGGAAACCCCGAUUCCAAUGGACCUGGCAUCACAGUUUGAGAGACCUUCAAAGGAGGACGUGAUUGCAUGCCAUCUUCAGUGCAGGGGUCGUCGAAAGCCAAAAUUGUGACCGAUCUGAUCAGGAAGCUCCAAGCGUAUCUGGAGAACAACACACGACAGGAUGAUAACCUUAUAGUGUCGUCUUAGAUAGCACCAGCUGACAAAGCUUUGAUAUGCCAUUUAUCUGAAUAGAUAGCUGUAAGAAAUGAAUUGAACAAUUUUUGAAACAAGAGCACAAUAUGGUUACUAAAGUAUGUUUAUUUGUAUAUUGUUUAACAUUUAAAUAUAUAUUUGUAAUAAAUAAAAAAAACUUUUGACUGACUAUUAUAUUUUCUUUAAAGUUGCAUCUUUUGUUCUUUUGGGUACUUUGUUACUAUAAUGAUACUUUAGUGUUAUUGGUUUAAAAAUGUAAUAAAACUUACUCUAGUCCUGCACCUCAAAGGCUUAUAGUCGGUACAAUAAAUGUUCUGUGUGUAGGGAUUUAGACAAUUUGUGCAAAACCUGGAUGAUGAAUCACGCAGGUAAGAGGCCCUGGAACAUGUUGCAUUCUCCUUAAAACCUAAUAAGUAAAAACAUAGCACUUAUAAGUAAGCAGUUUUUCAUAAUAAACUUUACCAUAGUGAAAUAAUGUAGAACAUUCAUUUCAACAAAUA